rnacentral:rRNA from 1 species
GGGGAAUUUUCCGCAAUGGGCGAAAGCCUGACGGAGCAAUACCGCGUGAGGGAUGAAGGAUUUUGGUCUGUAAACCUCUUUUCUCAAGAAAGAAGUUCUGACGGUACUUGAGGAAUAAGCAUCGGCUAACUCCGUGCCAGCAGCCGCGGUAAUACGGGGGAUGCAAGCGUUAUCCGGAAUCAUUGGGCGUAAAGCGCCUGUAGGUUGUUUAAUAAGUCUGUUGUUAAAGACUAGGGCUUAACCCUAGAAAAGCAAUGGAAACUACUAGACUAGAGUAUGGCAGGGGUAGAGGGAAUUUCUAGUGUAGCGGUGAAAUGCGUAGAUAUGAGAGAGAACACCGGUGGCGAAAGCGCUCUACUGGGACCAUUACUGACACUCAGAGGCGAAAGCUAGGGGUAGCAAAAGGGAUUAGAUACCCCUGUAGUCA